GAUGAAGAACGCAGCGAAAUGCGAUACUUGGUGUGAAUUGCAGAAUCCCGUGAACCAUCGAGUCUUUGAACGCAAGUUGCGCCUCAAGCCAUUAGGUUGAGGGCACGUCUGCCUGGGCGUCACAUAUCGUUGCCUGAUGCCAGUUUCCUCGUGAUGGGUGACUGUGCAGGGCGAAUGAUGGCUUCCCGUGAGCAUUGUUGCCUCAUGGUUGGUUGAAAAUUGAGUCCUUGGUAGGGAGCGCCGUGAUAGAUGGUGGUUGAGUGACGAACGAGACCCAAUCAUGUGAGACCCCUACCGAAUUUGGCCUUCAUGACCCACAUGCGUCUUUGGAACGCUCAUGACGAGACCUCAGGUCAGGCGGGGCUACCCGCUGAGUUUAAGCAUAUCAAUAAGCUGAGGA
rnacentral:misc_RNA from 1 species